rnacentral:rRNA from 1 species
AACCUUUAUUCGGGAUUACUGGGGCGUAAAGCGCACGCAGGCGGUCUGUCAAGUCGGAUGUGAAAUCCCCGGGCUCAACCUGGGAACUGCAUUCGAAACUGGCAGGCUGGAGUCUUGUAGAGGGGGGUAGAAUUCCAGGUGUAGCGGUGAAAUGCGUAGAGAUCUGGAGGAAUACCGGUGGCGAAGGCGGCCCCCUGGACAAAGACUGACGCUCAGGUGCGAAAGCGUGGGGAGCAAACAGGAUUAGAUACCCUGGUAGUCCACGCCGUAAACGAUGUCGAUUUGGAGGUUGUGCCCUUGAGGCGUGGCUUCCGGAGCUAACGCGUUAAAUCGACCGCCUGGGGAGUACGGCCGCAAGGUUAAAACUCAAAUGAAUUGACGGGGGCCCGCACAAGCGGUGGAGCAUGUGGUUUAAUUCGAUGCAACGCGAAGAACCUUACCUGGUCUUGACAUCCACAGAACUUUCCAGAGAUGGAUUGGUGCCUUCGGGAACUGUGAGACAGGUGCUGCAUGGCUGUCGUCAGCUCGUGUUGUGAAAUGUUGGGUUAAGUCCCGCAACGAGCGCAACCCUUAUCCUUUGUUGCCAGCGGUCCGGCCGGGAACUCAAAGGAGACUGCCAGUGAUAAACUGGAGGAAGGUGGGGAUGACGUCAAGUCAUCAUGGCCCUUACGACCAGGGCUACACACGUGCUACAAUGGCGCAUACAAAGAGAAGCGACCUCGCGAGAGCAAGCGGACCUCAUAAAGUGCGUCGUAGUCCGGAUUGGAGUCUGCAACUCGACUCCAUGAAGUCGGAAUCGCUAGUAAUCGUAGAUCAGAAUGCUACGGUGAAUACGUUCCCGGGCCUUGUACACACCGCCCGUCACACCAUGGGGAGUGGGUUGCAAAAGAAGUAGGUAGCUUAACCUUCGGGAGGGCGCUUACCACUUUGUGAUUAUGAUGGGUAC